CCAAAGAGUUCUCAAAGUUUGGUACCCUCGGCUUGUAAAAACCAUAAGACAUGAAUGACUGACCUUGCGGCUUAAUGAUUCCUAAGACAAAGACAUAAAAGAACCAAAGAGUUCUGAUUGGUACCAUCGGCUUGGAAAAACCAUUAGACAAAAGAGUCAAAAGACAUUGGAAGGGUAGUGCAUGCAUGUAAGGAAAUGAGUUGCGAUAUGUUGGAUUGAGCGGACUGAAGAAAUCUUAAGACAAGAUUAUGACUUGUUCGAUGGUAAAAAUGACGAGAACUUGGACCAACGUAUGUGCUUCUCAAGUUACGGUGUUCAGAUUGUCAAGACUUUUGAUAGGUAUAUAUUCUUUCAAACCUUUUUAUUUUUGUUUAACUGCUUUCCAAACUUGUUUGUAAUUAGUAUAUGAAAAUCACAAGUGAAAGACACAUACAUCAUCCUGAACUCCAAAAUGGUGGUAGUUUCUGGUGCUUUUAUCAACCCUUAAUGAUGACGCAGUUGGGAACAGAUUCCAAUUCGAGAGACUAGGUAUUAUUUUCAGUUUGAAAAUCAUAAAAAUUGCUUGCGUUUCUAGAUGAGCACAUUGUGUAUUUUAAUUUUACGAUUCUCUAUGUUUCAGCUCUUGUGUAUCAUAAGCUCUCUUAUUCUAUAUAGUGGAUGUAGAGUCUCUCGUAGAUUAACUUAUGUAGAUUGUGUUUGUGUUCCUUGAACCUUGAAAGUAUUUUUCUGCCUUGUGCUCGUAAACUUUGGUGAUUGUUUUAAACAUGUGAAUGACAUCCUAGGAUUUUGCAUCA